UUGUUUUUUGUUUAAUAUGAGCGUUUAUGAUUCCUUAAGAUUGCGUUCACAUUAAGUUACACGCCUCGUAGUGUUUUAUUACUUUAUAUGAUGACAGCAUAGUUACUAGACAACAUAAUGACAGUCCUAACAAGCUCAACAGGCCUGAGUGCUCCCAACACAUUGUAUAUAAACUUGACAAAUACGAGUUGUAUUCAUUGUAUUAUUUUGUCUUUUCAGAUUGAUGUCACUCGAUACAUCCUCAAUUCCGAGGUUCUCUUCAAUACGAGUGCGGAUUAACAGAACACAAAAUUUUAAUGUAAACGUCAAAAAAGAGAAGAAAUAAAUAAUUUAAGAAAAA